UACGAAGGGGGCUAGCGUUGCUCGGAAUCACUGGGCGUAAAGGGUGCGUAGGCGGGUUUUUAAGUCAGGGGUGAAAUCCUGGAGCUCAACUCCAGAACUGCCUUUGAUACUGAAGAUCUUGAGUAUGGGAGAGGUGAGUGGAACUGCGAGUGUAGAGGUGAAAUUCGUAGAUAUUCGCAAGAACACCAGUGGCGAAGGCGGCUCACUGGCCCAUUACUGACGCUGAGGCACGAAAGCGUGGGGAGCAAACAGG
rnacentral:rRNA from 1 species